GAUUCUCCUCAAAUCAAUAUAGGCAGAAAGAUUUGCUUGUCUUCAAGUUACUACUAUCUCAAAGAUUGUCACUCUUUCCAAAGAUGUGCAAAAUUGUGUGGGUGGUGCUUGAUUGUUAGCAGUGAUCAGGGCAACAAUCUACAUCUCGACUUCUUUUUACCUCAAUCAAUUUCUCAAUUCCAUGGGAACCCUUUUUUGUUUGUU
rnacentral:lncRNA from 1 species